CACGAUCGGUCGAGACAAAUCCAGCUUACAGCGGGAGCCUGGCGUACGUAGUUACGGCGGGUCACUGAAGCUGGCAAGCCAACGGAGGGUGAAGAAGGUACGUACGUAGCCCUAGCGAUGCUACUGGUAUAUAUAUAGAGAGAGUGCAGAGCUGAGACUUCUGGGGUUGGAAAAUAAGAUACGAGAUUGGUCGUCUCUCCUUUAAUUAGUUAUUAACCUUAUUACACUUUCCUUAAAAGGAUUUAAGGUGGAUGGAGUGUGUAGGAGUAUUAUUGUGCUUCUACUUUCGAAAUCGAACUUAUGCAUCCCAACCAUGGCUUAAUUUAUUCUUAAUGAUGAGUAAAAGGAAACGAAACAGUUUUGGAAAUGUUCCAACGGCCUGACCCUGACUAAGAUGCCACCACCACUCACUAAUCUCGUCCAUUACAUUUUAUUUUGCCCUAUAAGAAUAAAAAGAAAAAGAAAUCGUCUACUUGUCGAACAAAAUUUCCUUUCCCCCGCAAAGAGAACAAUAUAAAACGUCUACUCGUCCACCACAUGCACAGUGGCGCACAGUCUUUCCCUUUUCCCUGGUCAGAGUCAUCCUGGAUAGGAGCAUCUUUUUGUCACCCACAGUGGUUACUGACACGGAUUAAUCUGUAGACUUCGCAGCAGCUCAUCAGUUUCAGUAGCACACCCGGAUAUUCGGCCAUGCAUGACAAGCGUGGCAAUGAAUCAACACCACCAAUCCUAGGACUCAGGGUAUAUAAAAAGAAACUAUUUCCUCUUUUUUAAAAUAAAUGACUUAAGAAUGAUUCACUUUUAUAUUAAAAUUUAAUAUAAAAUUAGAUUAUUUUGAAUCAUUUAUUUUGAAAGGGGGAGAAUAUCAUACUGCGGAUCACCGUUGCAAAAAAUUAUCAAUUUUUUUAUUUUUAAAAAUUCAUCAUAAAAGUGAUGGACUGUUUAAAAAACCCAAAUGACCAAACUAUUAAAUUUAAACAAGGUUAUGACAGGUUGAACCCGCUCCUAAAUAAACCCACAUGUUAGGUCACUCUUCUUCCUCUCCCCUUUCUUCUCUCCCCCUCCUCCCCUUAUCUCUCUCGGCUCCGGCAAAGCAGCAGCAACAGAACGACAGGCUGCGGCGGCGCGGCCGGCGCACAAGCAGCCGCGGCGGUGACACAACAGCAGCACGGCGGGCGGGUGGCGCUAGCAGCAGCGGCCGCGGGCGGCCCAAGCAACGCCGACGGCUGGCACAUAAGCAGUCGCAGGCAGGCGGCGCUAGAAGACGGCGGGCGGGCAGCGCUAAGAGCAGCGGCCUCGGGCGGCCCAAGCAGCGCCGGUGGCUGGCGCAUAAGCAGUCGCAGGCAGGCGGCGCUAGCAGCACGACAGGCGGGCGGAGCUAGCAGCAGGGGCCGCGGGCGGCCCAAGCAGCAGUGGCGGCUGGCGCAUAAGCAGACUCAACGGGCGGCGCAUGCUGCAACGGCAGCGACAGUGUAGACAACAGCGGUGGCUCCGACGACCAGCAGCCCGGGCAGGCUAGCGCCACCACGGGGAGCACCGAUGACCAGCAACUCGGGUGGGUGAGCAGCCCACGGGUUGGCGCCGACGGCCAGGAGCCCGGGCGACGCCAUAUGCGAGCAGCUCCUGCUUGUCGCCGACCAUGGCCGACGCGGCCACGGCCAGAGCAACGCCGGCAGAGCGCACAUCGGCUCCGGCGACGAGCUCACCGGCGAGGACCCUAUUACUUUAUUUUUCAUUUUUCAGGGACCCCGUUGCUUUUUUUUAGGACCCAGUUGUAAUUCAUAAAUAUUUGGGCCCAUCUCUCAUAACAUGUCAACGGCCAACCUAACGGUCAACCUGGCGAGUGGACCCGAGCUGUCAUAAUAACAUUUAAAGUUAAUUAAUAUAGUCAUCAGUGUGACAUGAUAGUUUUUUUAAACAGCCCACCACUUUUAUGGUAGAUUUUUAAGAACUUACGGAAAUUUGUAAUUUUUUGCAACAAUGAUCCGUAAUGUUAUAGUUUUUGCUAUACACUUAGGAAUCAUACCACUUGCAGUGCACUUCUCCGUUCACAAAGCC
rnacentral:lncRNA from 1 species